GGCCGGAUAAGGCGUUUACGCCGCAUCCGGCACUAGGUUGCCUGAUGCGACGCUUGCGCGUCUUAUCAGGCC
rnacentral:ncRNA from 1 species